AGAAUGAACGCUGGCGGCGUGCUUUACACAUGCAAGUCGAGCGAGGCGGGUAGCUUGCUACCCAGUCGAGCGGCGAACGGGUGAGUAACGCGUGGAUCAUCUGCCUUCAGGUGGGGGAUAACCCGGGGAAACUCGGGCUAAUACCGCAUAACAUCUCCGGAUCAAAGGGGGCGCAAGCUCCCGCCAGAAGAGGAGUCCGCGUACGAUUAGCUAGUUGGUAGGGUAAUGGCCUA
rnacentral:rRNA from 1 species